UCACAAUGGAGGAAAGCGAUGUCGAGGAUUGCUCCAUCUUCCCUCCGAGCAACCACGAAGGUCUUCCCAUCCAAUCCCAAAACCAGCAAGAUCCACCUUCAUCAUCCUCACUGUCAUCGUCUCUACCUUCCCAUCUCAACGUCCGCGGCACAACUCUUGGCUUUGGCCUCACCAGGUGGUUCGCUUUUGGGUUGCGCCACUUACAUUCCAAACUUCUUGCCAUAGCUUCCUCGUUUCGACAUUAUGCCAACACAAGACCGACACUUGGGUCGUUUGGACCUGCCACCGGCGUCAUCACGGCGCUGGUGUUAGCAUUUUUCUUCAUUACGCUCCGCCGGCGCCGGCGCAGUCGGCCGCAUUCGUGGGAGGGGACUCUAGAUCAUUUGAUGCUUCUUAUCAAAGAGAGAGAUGAGAAAAUUAUUCAACUCUUGUAUCAAAUCAUCCAAAUGAAUGAGGCGCUACUGACCCAUCACAGAGUUGGUGCAGUUGAAACCCAAAAGCAAUUAACUUGACAAGGAGGUAGGUGAAACACAUUGUACAAAACUGAUGAGAUUUCAAGUGUGCUUUUGGGAUGUUGGUUCUUCAAGAAUUGGUUGGAGGUAUCAAUUUCAUUCCUCCUUCACAAUCUUAUAAUAUCAAAUAUAAUCAGCUUAUCCACCAGAGCCCUACACGUUUGUUCUGCUUCUUGUGUUUCAUGGAAAGACAUGGAUCAUAUCGGCCAAUAAAGCCAUUUUUAAGCACAUAUAGACAUUCUUUCAGUAUUCUUUUCUUCUUA